rnacentral:lncRNA from 1 species
UGUGAUUGAAAGAUGCGGGGUGACAUGACUGUUUUUUUCUAGCUCAUAGCCGCUGCUCAUUGGCUGUCAGACUUGGUCCGAUUCAGACUCAUUUUCUUAAUGAGUAUAGAGAUGGUGGACGAAGGAGGAAAGAAGUAGAAAUCUAGCCAAGCAAAUCUUAGGUGACGGGAGACCGGCAGUGGUGUUUUGAUCCUGGAUCGAACACCGGUUGGAGAUAGAAUGCUUGAAAACAAGAGGGAAAGGUUGAAAACCUUUUUAAGGAAGAUAGACGAGAAAGCUAUUUUCAAAAUCAAACAUUUCAUGAAGGAGAGUUAUACGGUGGAGGGGGCUCCUGUCCCUGGUGGGAAGGUGAGGAAGGGGAAGUCACUGAAGAAAGUGGAGCCGCGCAAAGCUCUGAGUCUGGAGGAGUCUCAGCUGGAGAGCCUGCAGCCCAGAAGUCCAAAGCUGCUCCCCAUCAGGUCUCAGACAUUUGACAUUGAUCGAUCAUCUGAAAGGACCGACAGUAUUGGCUCCAGAAGUAGUUUUAUUAAGCACAACAAAACAUUCCACAAGAUCUUCCAUGAUAUUCCUGAGACCGAAGACCUCAUCCAUGCAUACAUCUGUGCCCUGCAGAAGGAGGUGCCCUACCACGGCCGCCUCUAUGUCACUGAGAACCACGUCUGCUUCCACUCCUCUGUGCUGCUCAAGGCCACCAAGGUGCCAGCCAGCGCACACACAUAUAUACAUUCACAUGCACACACACACACACACACACACACACACACACACACACACACACAUAUAUUAGUGCUGUCAAACGAUUAA